AUUGAACGCUGGCGGCAGGCCUAACACAUGCAAGUCGAACGAGUGGCGGACGGGUGAGUAAUGUCUGGGAAACUGCCUGAUGGAGGGGGAUAACUACUGGAAACGGUAGCUAAUACCGCAUACCAUCGGAUGUGCCCAGAUGGGAUUAGCUAGUUGGUGGGGUAAAGGCUCCCCAAGGCAACGAUCCGUAGCUGGUUUGAGAGGAUGACGAUCCACACUGGAACUGAGACACGGCCCAGACUCCUACGGGAGGCAGCAGUGGGGAAUAUUGGACAAUGGGGGAAAGCCUGAUGCAGCCAGCCCGCGUGUAUGAUGAAGGCCUUCGGGUUGUAAAGUACUUUUAGCGGGGAGGCGGUAUCUGCAGAAUAAGAACCGGCUAACUCCGUGCCAGCAGCCGCGGUAAUAC
rnacentral:rRNA from 1 species